rnacentral:sRNA from 1 species
UAAUAGCCCCGAUAGAAACGACAUCCGUUUUUGCUUUUUCUUCAAUUUUCUUUUACUGAGAAAAUAUAAUGAAGGAAAAAAGAUGCAGUGGAUAGCGGGAAUUGCU